UACGUAGGGAGCAAGCGUUGUCCGGAAUCAUUGGGCGUAAAGCGCGUGUAGGCGGCCCGAUAAGUCCGCUGUGAAAGUCGGGGGCUCAACCCUCGGAUGCCGGUGGAUACUGUCGGGCUCGAGUGCGGAAGAGGCGAGUGGAAUUCCUGGUGUAGCGGUGAAAUGCGCAGAUAUCAGGAGGAACACCAAUUGCGAAGGCAGCUCGCUGGGACGUUACUGACGCUGAGACGCGAAAGCGUGGGGAGCAAACAGG
rnacentral:rRNA from 1 species